rnacentral:lncRNA from 1 species
AGAGCUCUCAGAGUCUGAAGAGCUGCUCCCACUGCUGCUGCUCAUUUGUUCAAUAAUGUCAACUUCAGCCCUCAGCUCUGGAAUAAAGGAUAUGACAUGGAUCAGCACAGCAGCCCUUUUCAAGGCAGUGCAUUGGAGCUUCUAUAAAUAGUAAAUCAGCAAAACCAACAGCAAUAAGAAAUAAUUUAAAACAAAGUCCUACUUCUCAAUACCUUAAAAAAUGUACAAACAAAAUUACCAAAACAAAAACACAGCCUGUUUCCAGAGACACAAUGGAAACAUUAAAUUCACUCAAAAUAAAUAAAAAGCAAGACUGUUUCAGAAUAAUGGCUGUUCUGUGUAAGAAAUGAAUUAAGUCCAUUUGCCUUUAUCUACUAAAAGAAAAAUUAUGAAUAUUAUGAACUAUGGGAUAAAACCAUAAUUCCCACAUAAGAGAAGACAAAUAUUAUGUAAAGUGGUUGAAAAAUAUUUGACUAGGAGUUGGGAGGUCUGAGUGCUUGUUUUGGAUUUACCUCUAACCAGCAGUGACACCUAGGUAGAAGUCAAUGAAUUUUCCAAGCCACUCUGGAAAAAUGAAAACCAGACAGCCUCUAAGGUCCUUUCCAGCUCUCAUGUCCCAUAAAUAAAUGGAGGUUUGCAGGAAGAACCAUGGUGACUAAAUAAAAAUGGUAAAACAAUAUUCUUCCUCUUCACUCUUUACAUAUUUGACUGACAGCCAUGCCUGUCAGGUACUGCAUUUUUUACAGAUAUAAAAUAUCAAUGUUAACUAACCAUUUCAAGAAAGGCGCCAGAUUUUCCUGUCUAGGCAUACCAUGUGGCCUUAAAUGGCUAUGGCUCCUUUAAGCAUAAUUGGCAACAACUAACCACUCAUGCUCUGAUUCCUAUUCAACCUAAGUGAAAACUUCCAUAACAGCAUUCCAGUAUCCAUGAGGAAAAAAAAAAAGGGACAAAACAACUGUACACAGUGCAGAGUGAUGUCUGCAGCCGUUCUACAGGGUGGAAAAGGCAAAUUUCCCAGGGACAACUCUUUAUGUUUCCCUACUAUUAUUAUGGAUUUAGUUAUUUUAUAAAACUUAUAAAUAUGAAAUAUGACCUCACAACUUCUAAAGAGUCUGGAGGACUAAAACCAUUCAUCGUGUGAAGGAGAAAGCCAAGGUAAGCUUUUUUGUCUCAGGUUUGCAGUGGAGAGAACCAAACUGGACCUUUAACUCUUUCUAGGCCAGUAUCUGUUUCUAUUGGUCCUCAUGGCCUCUUUCAUAUUUACACACUUUGUGUUAGCACAGGACAUUUGCUUAUGGUAUUUUAAAAGGCAUUUUAAUCCUUUUUUUCCCCCCAAAAAAGAGAUGUUAUUGCCCAGGCUGGAGUUCAGUAGCUACCAACAGGCACGAUCAUAGCACACUGUAGCCUCAAACUCCCAACUUCAAGCGAUCCUCCUGCCUCACAGUAGCUGAAACUACAAGUGUGCAGCACCAUGGUCAGCUCCUCCAGCCUAUAUACUAAUGUAGAGCUCAGAAAGGUUGCCACCUACGCUUAGUUUUCACCUCCAACACCUAGAAUCCUUUCUUUCUCCGAAGCCUUAGAGGUGUGCCAUAUGGAGCUUAGAUGGAAGUCAUGCUUGUUUAAAUCCUAGGCCUCUAAGCAGAAUGGCUACAAAGAUAGCCACAAACUCAAGUCACUAUUCCAGGACUCACCCUUGUCAAAUGAGGUAAGUGGCAGAAGCCCCCACCCUCCCCAUCUCUGAACAGUGAGCUCUGCAGACAUUUUUUUGAUGGCAUUGAAUGCCCCAGCCACUGUAUCAAUACAGCAGCCAUGUGAUCUCCACAAGAAAAUUCAGCACUCUACUCCAAGUUGCUAUCAUGGAUCCAGAAAAUGUUCUCUACCUCUUUUGAUGUCAUCCAACUGAGGUUCAGGUGAGGGGUUAUCUUUCAAGGGAGAAGUUUUGGGUCCAACUGGAGGCUUCGUUGGAGCUCUGAAUGGCAUAGGUGGUGGAGGUGGUGGUGGCUGUGACGUCUGUGGAGGACGAGUGGGCUGCUGUUCCAUUCGGGCCUGGAUUUUACUGCUGCCCUCAGCUCUGAAAGGAGAUACAGACAUUAAAUUAGCAGGGCAAAAAUAGUGGUUCUCAAAUUUGUCCAGGUGACUGAAAACUCAGAAGUCUCUGUAGAACCCCAUGUUCUUUCCAGACCACUUCAAAAUACUGAUACUUGUAAUUUUGUCAUGUGAGCUAUUCAUUCAACAUUUGAGUGUCUACUGUAAUCCAGUACUAUAUUAUGUAUCAGGGAUACAGACAUGAAUAGAAUAUUUACUGCCCUCGAUGAGCUCAAAUGUAUAGCAAACAAAUGUAGGAUAUAAUGAAACUAUGAAAAUCCAUUUUACUAGUAGAAAAUACAUUCAUGCAUCCCUUAACAAUGAGGGUAAGUCCUGAGAACUGCAUCAUGAGGUGAUUUCAUCAUGCAAACAGCAGAAUGUACUUAUGCAAACCAAUAUAGCAUAUAAUUUUUUCACAUGAAAACCCAAAUGUCCCACCACCAUAAUUGAAUAUCAGUCAUUCCCCCUACUUGAUCUGCAAUGCCAAUAUCAAGUGCCGUAUAUCAGGUUUCCAUACAUGCUCCAUUAGAAUCUUAAGGGACCACUGUCAUAUAUGUAGGUCACUACUGACCAAAACAUCAUUAUGUAAUUAUAAUCAUGAGUGCAUGAGUUCCUAAAUAAAGUAGCUCCUAAAAUAUUGCCCAGCUUGAAAAUUUUUUCCAUUAUCUAUAUACUGCUUGUUCAUUUCAUCACAUGCCAGCUCUUGCUGGCAGACAAGCAGAAUUCCAUCCCAAGCUGAGAAUAUUCUAUCAGUUAACAAUUUCUUUUGUAAAUGGACUAGCCUAGUGCUUCUAAAACUUUUGCUUAUGCACAAAUCACCUGGUGAUCUCUGCAGAUUCAGAUCUCAUAGGUGUUGAGAUUCUGCAUAUCAUCUAGGUAAUAUGAUACUGUUAGUUCCCAUAUCACACUGAGUAGUAAGGGAAUAUACCACAACCAUCAGAUAUUGGAGGAAUAUCGGUAGCACCUGGUUCACUGUAGGUAAUGAAUACAAAUAAAUAGAGUGGCAGGACAGGAGCAAGGACUCUGCAGCACACUCUCCGGGGUAGGUCAAGCUCUCUAACCCUCAGUCUCCGUACCUUUUUUUUUUUUUUUUUUUUUUUAGAUAAUAGCACCUUUCGUACUCACUUCGGCAGCACAUAUACUAAAAUUGGAAUGAUACAGAGAAGAUUAGCAUGGCCCCUGUGCAAGGAUGACACACAAACUCAUGAACAAUUCCAUAUUUUUAACAAAAGAAGUAAAAAAUAAUAAUAACACCUUUCUAAAAAUUACUUGUUAGAUAAAACAAUGCAUAUAAAGCAUCUAGCAGAGUGCCUGGGACAUGAUACCCCCUCAAUAAAUGGUACCUAUUUUUAUUUUCUGUGGAAUGAAUGAAUGAAAAAAAAAUGGCUUAACGAAGCAUAAAAAACAUCAGGUUGUGACAAUCUUUACAAUUUAAUUACUGUAUUAUAAUAAUUACUGUAUUAUAAGUGAGCUAUGAUUAUGCCACUGCACUCCAGCCUGGGUGACACAGCAAGAGACCUCGACUCUUUAAAAAAAAAAAAAUACUGUAUUAUAUGGUAACAAAUAGAACCACUAGGUUAUUUCUAUUUAUAGAAUGAAUUUUUAUUUUCAAAUAAACUCUAACUGGCUUCAUUUUAGACAUGUAGCAACUGUUGAAUUAAAGAGUUCACUAUAUUAAAAAAUAGGCAAAGUUUUAUUUUGGUAUUAUAGUAAUCUCAAAUGUAUCUUGUAAAAAAAUUAAUGUUUUCACUCCAGUUAAGUAUAGUAUAUAUUGCUCCUUCAUAAUUAUAAGUCUAUAAGUUAUCUUAUCCCUUAGGUGGUACUGUAGCAAUCAUGAGAUUAACAAAAUAGGCUUAAUUAUAAAGUAUAUCCCCCUUUCCCUAAUGGUUCCCAUGUUUUAGGUCUUAAAAAACAUUAUUUCUUUUUAUUGCAUUUGAGGAAGACAUAUUUUACUCUGAGCACAUAUUUACAUAUUUUGUCUGAGCACAGGUAGUGUUAAGAUUAUUGAUAGAACACUAUGAGCAAGCAGAUGUUCACAACCUUAUAAAAACUGAAUAGAUAACAGAGGUUUGGAAACAUGAUAUAAACCUGCAUCUGGCUAUUCACAUACCUUGUUUUCUUCACCUGAAUGCUGCUACUGAGUUUUUCCAGCACAUAUUCACCAGUGUCAUGAUUAAUAAUAAGCACACAGUCUUUCUGGUAAGGCCGUUUGUUCCCCUUGAACACAGUCAUGGGUGGUGUGGAUCCCUAUUUGCCACAAAAGUAUAAGAUGAUCAAACUAAACAUACCAGUUAUGAAUAUCAACUGAAUUUAUAGAUGACUCCACCUGAUGAAAUCUUUUAUCAGAGCUAUUCAAAAAGAACAGGUUGAACUGAUUUCUAUUUUAUCUCCUUCUGGUUUCCGAGGCAAAAAUAAAGGAGAAAUAAUAUAGCAAGAAUUUGUGAAUGUGCAACGCGUUCUAAGUAAUCAAAAAGGUAGUAUAAAAGUUUUAAUUACUAUAUACGUUCCAAGAGAGAAAAAUUAACCAUUACUUUCAUUAUACUAAGCAGAGUUAUCACUCUGUAUAGUAAAACUGUGAGUGAUCUCUAUUUCUUUGUCAUUAGAGAGACCAGGGUUUCCCCUUCUCAUGUCAAGCAACCAACAGAGCAUUUUCCAAGAGAAGGUCAUUAUCCUGGUUGGCUCAGAAUAAAUAAAUCAUGUCACUCAUCUGCCUAAGCCUUUCAAUCACUCCUCAAUUGCUCUCAGGCCAAAGGAUAAAAUCUUUAAACUAGCCACUUGGCCUUGCACUACCGGGCCCUUCCCUGGCUCUCCACCUCACCCUGCAGCAUACUCCCCUGCGCAUGUGCUUCAGAGCAGAAGGCAACUGGCUUCCCUCCUAUCCUCAAGCUCUCUCCUGCCUCUGGGCUUUAACAAGGCUUCUGCCAGCUUUAACAAGGCUUCUGCCAGCUAUAUCCUGCCCCCUCUCUUUAAAUGACCCAACCUCCAGAUCUGCUCACAGAUACUUCCUUAAGGAAGCUGUCCCUGAUUUUGUAGAAUAACUGCUAUAUUUUCUUGUAUUAAUUUAAACUCCAGACCAUAAGCUCCACCAGGGCAAGAAAUGUGCUUGUUUUGUUCAAGGUUAUAUACUUCAUGCCUAGUAAUGGGCCAAUGUGUGGGAGGCAUUUGAUUAAUAUUUGUUGAAUAUCAUAUUUAAUGCCUUGCUUAGAAUAAAAAACUGCUUGGCUCUUUGACUCCUUAUUUAUAUAGUAAAAAUAUAGAGCUAGAAAGAACUUUAGGGACCAUUUUUCUAAACCUUUCAUUUUACAUAUGGGAAACUAAGGUCCAAAGGGAGAUGAUGUAACUUGCCAAAGGUAACAAGUAAUCAAACAGCAGUUUGAAUGGGCAAUUUUUCCUCACCACAAAGCUUUCCAGAUCUCCCUGUCCAGAGACUUUUCAUUCUGUCUCCAGCUACCGAGAACUUAUGUUCCAGGACAGGGGUGUGACAUGCAAUAACACAUGUUCACUAAGAGCAUCAUGUGACCCUUUGGUGCUUUGUCAUUAGUGCUGCCUUGGGCAGAGCUUCACAAAAGUCUUUCUCUGCAAGGGUUCUUAAUCCAGCUUUCAAUUUAGUUCUUCAUCCCUAAAUCAGCUGAAUGUGCCACACCUGUGGUUCCUGCCUGCCUUAACUCCUGGCUUGGUUGCCUCACACUCCUGAGCUGUUGUGGCCAUAUAAUCAGCAGGGCACCUAGGGCUUUUCUGUCUGGAGUUGCUUGGGAGAAAAGCUAUAUCUAAAAGAGGGGCUAGGUGUCCAGACAGGAACCUUGUCUACUCAGUAGCAGAUGGGGGAAAAGGAAGAUUGGGGAAAACGACGAAUAAUCUUUUUUUUUUUUUUUUUGAGGGGGAGUCUCACUCUGUCGCCCAGGCUGGAGUGCAGUGGCGUGAUCUUGGUUUACUGCAACCUCUACCUCCCAGGCUCAAGCGAUCCUCCCAGCUCCGCUUCCCAAGCAGCUGCAACCACAGACAUGUGCCAUCACCCCCAGCUAAUUUUUUGUAUUUUUGGUACAGACGGGGUUUCACCAUGUUGCCCAGGCUGGUCUUUAACUCCUGAACUCAAGCUAUCCACCCACUUCCACCUCCCAAAAUGCUAGGAUUACAAGAAUUAUUUUUAAUCAAGCACCUGCCUAGCAUGAAGUCCACCCCACCCCACUCCCCAAAAUUACUUUUUUCCUUAAGUUGCCACUUUAGAAAUCUAAACAUUUUUAAAAGUAGGAAGUUUAAAUUGCAAUAAUAUAAAAGACAAAGAUUCAUUGUGAUCUUACAUUAAAAAAAAAAAUGAAAUAAACUCACAGGGAUAUGUGGCAGUGUAAUUGUGACUUCAUCUCCUUUGCCAACUUGAAGCUCUCCUUCACAGGAAGUGUCUAUAGAUGCUGGUUUAAAAUCAUCUAAAGGGAAAGGAAAAAAAGCACUUACCCACCAGGUUACUUAUAAUAAGGGUUUCCUGGGCAUCUCCAUUUAAGAAUUAAAAUUAUUACUCAGAUGAAUGGAAAAUAAAAAUAAUUUAGAAUUCUUAAAAAACUGUUUCGUUAUGGAAAACUUCAGAUACACAAAAGUAGAGAGAAUCGUACAAUGAGACCUGGUAUACCAUUAUCCAGUUUCAAUUAUUACCAACUCAGGGACAAUCUUGUUUCAUCUACACCUCCACAUACUUUUCCUCUGACCCCCUUUUGAUUAUUCUAGAGGGAAAAAAGAAUUUACAGGCCAUUUUAUUAAACAAAGAUAUUCCCUUCUCCCAAGGGAGAGAGGAAAAUUGUCUCAUCAUCCAUAAUAAGUUGCUUUUUUAGGGUUGUGAGGAUCAAAAGUAACAGCAUAUGAAACAGAUUCUGUGACUGUAAACUCUAUAUGAAAUAUGAAAGGCCACAGCAUCAUCAAAAGCUGAUUUCAUUCCGCAUAGAAACUGUCAAAAUUAGGAUUUGCCAUACUCAAGUUCCAUAGCUGUUUUUUGUUUUUUUUUUUUUUUAAUAGUGAUGGGGUCUCACUAUGCUGCCCAGGCUGGUCUCAAACUCCUGGGCUCAAGCUAUCUGUCGACCUCGGCCUCCCAAAGUACUGGGAUUAUAGUGUCAGCCACCACUCUCAGCCAGUUCCACAGCUUUAACAAAGACACUUCGUAGAUGUUCAUAGCAGACAACUGAACUGUAUCUCCGCAAGUUAUCCUGCUCGUGUUUCUAAACUGCAGUUAGAAUACAACAUAAUAGCCAUCUUAAUUCACAUUCACACCUGCCUCAAACUGCAGGACAGGUGCACACAUGAACUAUAUGAUUUAAAUUCCACAUUGCCCUUCACCAAAAGAAAACAUCAACUUAGUAAACUCUUCAGGAAAUGAUGUUCUUAUCUUAUUCCCAUCUCUUCUCUCUGAAAGAGCUGGAUCUGCUGUCAGUAGGAAGCAUAGCAAUGGCAUGGCAAGUGACUACACAAAGAUGGGAUUUCAUUAUCUAAAACGCCCUCUUCACAUGUGUUGAGUCACAUCUAUUAGGUCCUCUGACAAAAACAAGUCUUAACAACAGCGUUAGCACCACGGAAACCAGAAGUUCAUGAAUCACGGAGGGAUGCUCUGUCAGCCAAUUCCUAACUGCCAAACCUUCACCCAGGACAUAGGGUGGAAGUGCACUCUCUCAACAGCGUCUAUAAUUAUGUAGAAAAAGGUCCGGCAUAAUGACUAUUUGGACAUUCCUUACGCCUGCUCUCUUCUGCUUCCAAACGUAGACCAAUCUUUAACCUAUCCCAGGCUCACGAACUCUGAUUUGACUCUUUACCCACAAGGAACUUGGUCUGGAGGAAAAGCCCGGGUGGUAUAGGUGACCUCAAAAGACAUCCAAGUCAAAUGAAGCACAGAAAGGAGAUGGAAGAAGACUCUGAUGAGGCGCAGAGAGGAUGCCAAUUCUUUGGCUGUAGAGGGGACAAAGCACAGUAUUUGGGAGUCCAGGACCAAGUCGGAGGAGAAAAGCAGGGAAGAGAAUGGGUUCUAAGGCAGUGGAUGAGGCUCAUAACAAACAAGAAGCGUCUUUUAAAUGUGGAGAACCCUGAUGGGAGCAUCGGAAAGGAGGGGAGGGGUUUCGAGGGAGAAGUGGACCCGGAUAAGAGGGGGGAGGUUUGCCUUGGGGGAGGGAGGUUUGCCUUAGGGGCGAGGUUGGGGGCGGGGAGGGAUGGAAAUGGAAAGAGGCCAAAGACCUUUGGAACUAGUGUUUGAGACUGUGAGGUAGAAGAAUAGUAGGGAGUGACGAAGAUUUGGGAGAAAUAAUCUGGGUAAAAGAAGGGACAAAUCGAUGUCCCAAAGGAUUUGGGGUUCGAGAGAAAGUAACUGACGCUGGCAGGGGGUUCCCUGGAAUCUGAAGGGCCGAGGGAAGAAAGGAAGGAGUCAAGGUUGAUAUGUGGCGGCUGGAGCGGCCGAAGGGAACCGUGGGGAGCGCUGACUUACAACGAAUAGUGUGGAAGGAGGCCCGCGGCCGCUUCUCGAAGCUCUCCCCGAGCCUCAG